UCUUGGUCAUUUAGAGGAAGUAAAAGUCGUAACAAGGUUUCCGUAGGUGAACCUGCGGAAGGAUCAUUAUCGAGACUACCACGCCUGAUGCUGGCCGCGAGGCAUGUGCUCGGCGUCUCGUCCCACACCUCUGUGCACCUCCGAGGGGGCGUCAGCCGCCUCGCUUCAUACACAUUGCAAAGUCUAGUCGAAUGUAUAACUUAAACAAAUACAACUUUCAACAACGGAUCUCUUGGCUCUCGCAUCGAUGAAGAACGCAGCGAAAUGCGAUAAGUAAUGUGAAUUGCAGAAUUCAGUGAAUCAUCGAAUCUUUGAACGCACCUUGCGCUCCUUGGUAUUCCGAGGAGCAUGCCUGUUUGAGUGUCAUGAAUACCUCCACCUUCCGGGCUUGACUCGGGUAGGCUGGGACUUGGGCUCUGGCGGCCUUCGGGUCGGCUGGCCUGGAAUGCAUUAGCGGGACGUCUGUGGCCCUCCGGUGUAGUAAUGCUAUUCACCGCGAGGCCUCGGGCGGACGGCUUCUAGUCGCGCUCGUCUGCGCAACACCUCAGUGUUUGACCUCAAAUCAGGUAGGACUACCCGCUGAACUUAAGCAUAUCAAUAAGCGGAGGAA
rnacentral:rRNA from 1 species